rnacentral:tRNA from 1 species
GUCCCUGUAGCUCAACCGGAUAGAGCAGCGGACUUCUAAUCCGCAGGUUGUGGGUUCGAGUCCCACCGGGGACGCCA